GCCCAGUGAAACUCUUAAACGGCCGCGGUAUCCUAACCGUGCAAAGGUAGCAUAAUCACUUGUCCCCCAAAUAGGGACUAGUAUGAACGGUCAAAUGAGGACUAAACUGUCUCUUACAUUCAACCAAUAAAACUGAUCUUUCAGUUAAAAAGCUGAAAUAAAACCAUAAGACGAGAAGACCCUGUGGAGCUUCAAACCAAACCCAACCUUAAUGGCCAUUUGGUUUUUAGUUGGGGCGACUUCGGAGCACAAAAAACCCUCCGAAAACAAGCCAUAUUAAGAUAAACACAUCAAUAUAUGAGUUCAGACCCAGUGUACUUUCAUAAAUAUCUGAUCAAUGAACCAAGUUACCCCAGGGAUAACAGCGCCAUCCCCUUCUAGAGUCCUUAUCGACAAGGGGGUUUACGACCUCGAUGUUGGAUCAGGACACCCAAAUAGUGCAGCCGCUAUUAAAGGUUCGUUUGUUCAACGAUUAAAGUCCUACGUGAUCUGAGGUUUCA
rnacentral:rRNA from 1 species